GGAAGGCGCAGGCGCGGGGCUGCCGCUGCCGGGCGGGGGCUGUCGGCGGGGCCGACGUUUGUUCUGCGCCCGGGCUCCGGCGGUGCCGCUCCAGAGGCACAGAGCUCCGCGGAGCCGGCCCGCGCACCGCUGUGCUGAGUGAGGUCUUCCCACAUCCCAACCAGCCACUGGCGUGGGGGAAGCUGCGCUCCCAGCCACCCCCCAAAACUAAUGGUUGUCAGGCAGCGGGAUACGAGAUUUCGAGGGGCAGGUCAGAAAAAGGAGUCGCUGAAAAGUACAGGAACUGUGCUGGAAAAUGAGCAUAAGAGACUUGAAAGCCCUGGGUCGGAGGGAGUGCCGAUGUCUGAUCAUGAGCCAGCUUGAAGACCAGUGGCAUCCAGGCCUGUAUCAGCAAUAGUGUGGCCAGCAGGAUGAGGACAGUGAUUGUGGUUUGUGGAGGUCGGUGGGCCAGUAGUACAAAGGACAAAGGGUGUCCAUUGGUGGAACAGACCCUAGUACCAAAGAACCUCCCCAGGUUAGUUCGACAAGAGGUUUCCCCCAGGAUGCUUUGUCUUGUUAUGGUAAUGCACCCCAGUUCUGCUUCCCUGGUUGGUCCAUUGGCCUCCCUGCCCCUUGUUACAUGUCCCCGAUCUAGAAGGUUCUCCACUCCCUGUUCUCCCAUUGGCCCCUGCCCCAUCGCCACUCCCUCAGUUUCCCCAUUAGUUCUCUUACCCUAACCCCGCCUGUGUACUGCCCCCGACCCCUCAGAUCAUUGGUCCCUGAUGCUCCCUCCACUCCCGUAUAGAAACCUGAACCCUCCCAUGUUCUUUGGCUGUGUCUCUGGACCCUUUCACGUGUGUGGCUGCAUUAAACUCCUCCUGUGGAACCCCAUAUGAAGACCCUUCCCGUCUCUUUGUUGUUGACACAUUUUCUGGAGCUAUCCGCAUGUGUGUGCGUGUGUACGUGUGUAUGAGUGUGUGGUGGUCCUGCCGAGCGGCUUCACCUUGGAGACGCUUUCAGGAGGUUGCGGCAUCUCACCAUCCAGCACUGCAGGCAGCCCCGUGUAGCAAAGUGGCACCCAAACAGGGACUGUUACCACUCGUCCCUGGAAGCGGGCCCCUCUCAAAAGGUACCACUGGCGUGUCAUCCCUCAGGGGAGGAAAAACUCACCAUCAAUUUGCCAGUGGUACGUGGCCCACAUCCUCUCACCUAUAAGAAAGACAUUUCCAGACACCAUCAUCCUGCACUACAUGGACGGUAUUUUAAUCUGUUCCCGGGACCAGUCCUAUUUGGACAUUGUGCUAUCGAGGACCAUCAAGACCAUCAAAGAAGCCAGUUUUGAAAUAUGCAAGGACAAGAUUCAGUGCACCUGCCCCUGGACCUACCUGGGACUCCGGAUCGGCGAGCGGACUGUCAUACCCCAGCAGCUCACCAUCAGGGACAACCCAAGGACCCUCCACGACCUCCACCAGCUCUGCGGGUCCAUUAAUUGGGUGCGUCCACUGCUGGGGAUUACAACAGAGGAGCUUGCGCCACUCUUCAACCUUGUCCGAGGCAGCAAGGACCUCGACUCUCCGUGAACCAUCACCCCGGAGGCCCAGGAGUCUAUCAGGAAGGUGCAGGAAGGCUUGUCCUCGCGGCAGGUGCAUUGAGUAGACCCCACACUGCCACUCAACUUGAUUGUCCCACGUAAGUCGCCCAGGUUCAAUGUGCUAAGUUUUCAAUGGGAUGUGACACUGAAGGACCCACUCCUCAUCAUCGAGUGGGUCUUCCUUCACAAUCAGCCAAUUAAAACUAUCACAACACCACAAGAGCUCAUGGCUCAGCUAAUCAUUAAAGCCAGAGCACACCUCCGCACCCUUGCAGGAUGUGAUUUCACAUGCAUUUACCUUCCCCUUACACUGGGGUUCUGGACCAUUUGCUCCAGAACAACAAGCACCUCCAGUUCACCCUUGACAGCUACACAGGUCAAAUUUCCAUCCACAGACCCAGUCAUAAGCUCUUCAAUUCAGUCUUUCAUUUGGCGCUAAAACCCCUCCAAAGACAUACCCAUCUCAAGGCCCUGACAGUUUUUACAGAUGGCUCGCACGGCUCCCAGAAGUCAGUUAUGACUUGGAAAGAUCCAAAGAUGCAGAAGUGGGAGUCUGAUGUCCAAAUUGUUGAGGGAUCCCCGCAGAUUGCAGAGCUAGCAGCUGUUGUCAGGGCUUUUGAGAGAUUCAAAGAACCGAUUAAUUUGGUCAUGGAUUCGGCAUAUGUAGCUGGUGUAACUGCUAGGGCCGAACACUCUUUGCUAAAAGAGGUGAGCAAUCCAAAUUUAUACAGGUUGCUUCUGAGGUUAAUCUACCUCCUCUCUCACUGAAAGCAAUCAUUCCAUAUAAUGCGUGUGAGGUCACACACCAACCUCCCAGGGCCCAUCGCAGAGGGCAAUAGAAGAGCGGAUGCCCUGGCCAUGCCUCUCCAGAAUGCCAGCAUACCAGACGUCUUUUCACAAGCCAAGCUGAGCUAUGAGUUCUAUCAUCAAAGUGGACCAGCCCUCAUGCAGAUGUUCCAUCUGCCGUGUGACCAAGCGAGGGCUAUCGUUGCAACCUGUCCCAACUGCCAGCACUACCAACUGCCGUUGUUGGGUUCCGGGGUUAACCCCUGAGGACUCAACAGCAGCCAGUUGUGGCAGACUGAUGUCACCCACUACCCGGUUUUCAGCAGGCAAAAGUACAUACACGUGUCCACUGACACAUUUUCAGGAGCGGUGUUUGCCUUCGCCGACACAGGAGAGAAGACCAAAGAUACCAUCAGGCACUUCCUCCUCGCGUUUGCAACCUUAGGCGUCCCGGAACAAAUCAAAACAGACAACGGCCCUGCUUACACCUCCCACAAAUUUAGAGAUUUCUUUAAUCAGUGGGGGGUUAAGCACGGCACUGGCAUACCCCAUUCUCCUACAGGAUAGUAAAUUGUUGAGGGGGCCCACUGUACCAUAAAGCAAGUCCUUGAUAACAGUGGGGAGGGACAGAGAUCAGUCCUCUCAUUGAAAGGCUCUGUAGGCCCUUUUCACAAUGAAUUUCCUGAACUGCUCAUUCAUGGAGCCAACCCCCCCAGUAUUCUGGCACUUCUCCAUUUCAGCCCAAGCUAAGCUCAAUCAGAAGCCUCCAGUACUGAUCAAGGAUCUUGAGAGCCAACAAAUAUUGGGCCCUUUCCCUUUAAUAACCUGGGGGAAGGGAUAUGCCUGUGUAUCAACACCGUCAGGCCUGAAGUGGCUUCCAGGCAAGAACAUCAAGCCCUACACUGGCCCGGCAAACACUGCUCCCAUGGACACAACUUCGAAAGAGACGAAUAGGGUGCAACCUCAAAACCAGAAAAGUGCAGCAUGGAGAUGGAGACAGUGCAGAUCUCCACCACCAACACUGACCUGCCGUCCCACAACCAGAGCCUCCACCAGAGGCAACUGCCAGAGCCCAUGCCCGCAUUCACCAUCAUGAUGCCCAGCACUUGCCUCACCACUAUCUUCUGGAUGCUCCUGACAACAUCAGCCAUGGAUGCAUGGAUGGUAGUGCAGCCCAAAGAAGACGUCUGGUGAAAGCAUCCACACCAGCAUCCACAAGAUGAGGGACUUAAUCACGGACUUAAAGAAGGAAAAACCACCUGAGUGGCUUGAGGACCUGCUGGGACAAUGGGGGCUCAAAGGGUGACUUGCUUCCCUGUUGAGGGUUGCGUUGUGGGCCUUUGGGUCACAACAACCCCUGCAGCACUAAAGGCUGGAGGAAGAGCAGCUGGAAAACUGCCUGGUGGAAAAAGACCUGGGAGUGUUGGUGGACAGCAGCUGAACGUGAGCCAGUGAGUGCCCAGAGAUGUUACUUGUGGGGGAAAAGAGGACUUCUGUCUGCACGACUUCAAAGGUUAUUGGACAUUGAGGCCAUGUCCUUUUCCAGUUUCAUCCUGUGAUGCAGGACUGGGUCCAUCUUCAUGAGCUCCUCUCACAUGUGCUCUGCCAGGACACCCCAUCUCCCAUGAGCCUGCACUCAUCUCAGCUUUCUGCCAUGGCCCUUUGCUGGAAGAAGGGUAACAGGGAUCCCCUAGCCACAGUUGGAACAAAGAAUCUGUGGAAAAGCAUAACACAGCUGGCAAGUGGGAGUAAAGGAAAGGAGGAAAUGGUGUUAUGCUAAGCAUUUAAUUCUGAUGGUUUUUGCUAUCAUGUACUUAGCAUCAUGAUGCAGCUAUGCUAAAAAGACCAAAAGCACCUAAAGUGGCAAAAGAAAUCAGUGUGGGAGAAGAUAGAAGGAAUAUGGAAUGUCUUCCAAAUACUCACAUUUCUUUACAUGUACCUAAGGCUGAAAUGUGAAUUGUGUAGGUAUAGACUGUGUGCUGACAAUUAGAAAUGUAUUUAAAAUGUAUGUGCACUUUUCUGAAAACCUGUUUCUGCGGUUCACUGCAAAGUGACAGCCAAGGAAGCAGAUAUCCUGAGUAUCUGACACUUUUUUCCAGUGUAGCCGAACAAUAAAAAGAAGUUAGAAGUUUAAGCUCUUUUUGCACUCAAAUUUCCUGAAAAUAAAUGUGAAUUAGAAUUAGUGAUUCUGAACAUAAGCACAGUUUCGUGAAUACAGCAACUGGAUCUUGGCAAAUGAAAUUUGUGGUGAUAAAACAGGUAGACUGGCUCAAAGUCAUUUCAGAACAUUUAUGAUAUGAUACUUCUCUUCAGUCAUGUCUUCCACUUGGAAGUUCUGUAUCUGAAAUAAGUAUUCCAGUGCUUCAGAAUACUUCAUUUAAAAGUCAUUGACAAUUUCAACAGGAACGGCAGUUUAAAAAUAAACAUACUUAUUCUUCACCUUUAUGUACCUACUAAAGCUGAAGUGGUUUGCAGUUACAGAACUUAUAAAAUAGAGUGAAUUCAAAGGUGAGUCGUCCAAAUGAUGUUAAAUAAUUAUAAUUCCUUUUGAAUUUAUACAAGUCCUAACUGUUGCUUACACAAAAUGUUACUAUAUCCACUGUAUGUACUGCCAUUCUGAACCACAGAUGUGGCAUAAUGAGCAUACAGUGGUUCUUGAUAUAUUACAUGCCACUUGGAGAGACACAAAAUAAUCUUUCUAAUGUGCACAUGUAUUUGUGCCUUUGCCAACUAUUAGUUUUCAUUUUUAACAUGUAUAGACUGUUUUCAGUAUUCACAGAAAAGAUCAGUCAUUUCUAACGGAGAGUGUAUUAAUUUUCCUCAAGCCUUACUUCAUGAUAUACUGUAGAAACUUUGUAGCAGUGAUAAUUAAUGUAAAUCUGGAAUAUCAAGUUCUAAAACAACACUGGGAAAAAUGAUUCAUUGUGACUAGUUGAAGAAAAUAUUUUCUGUGGUGUAGCACCUCAGCAUCUGAGCUUAUGAUAUUCAGUAGUACCGUUUCCUGAAUAUUUUUCAGAAAAGUGUGUCAGUGAUCUCCAUUUAUUAUACAGGCUUUUGUGAAGGAGUUUUUUCUUAAAAGCAAAGUAAUAGAAUGAGUUUCUGCUUAGAAUUGAGAGUAAACAGACCUUAGUCACCAAUAAAGAAUACCAUAGGAAAAAAUGAAAGCUGUGAUAUCUGAUGAAGGUAAUACUUUCUCUUUUUGCAACCUAGAGAGGACAAAGAGCUACUGUUUUAAAGAUUACAUUGGUAGUAAUUUAGAAGAGUGGUAGUGUAUUAUCAGAUAAAAGAAAGUGAAGAGUAUACCUACAUGAUUAAGAAUUUUAUGAUGUACAGUAUUAAUGUGCACUACUUAGUAGUUUAGGGUAGUAAAAAAUCCAUAGUUGCAACGCCCAUAUUAUUUUUUUUUUGUAUUUAGCAGUGUGGUAUAUUGCCAGAAUUAAAUUAAUAGAGGUGUUUGCACAGCAGUGCUUUUGCCAUACAUCAGUGCAAGUGGAAAUGUCAAAAUGUGGUCAAUAAGGGGGUGAACCACUGUGUUCUGUGGUGCUGUGAACUGGAGCCUUUAUGGGGAGAGCAGCAGCAACAGACAACUGUAAUACUUCCCACCCUCCUGUAAUCAGUGAAGUUUUAGAAAAUUAAUCCUUACCCUGCUGUUCUCUCUUGCACUUUAGUCUACAUAGAGGAAUUUUACAUCAUAUUUAAAGAAAAUCUACUAACAUGCAGUAAGGUAUUACUGCAUAGUACUAGUUUGCUUUAGACCAGGCAGAGAAUCAUUUAGGUGAGUGUUGGUUUCAGUAGUUAAGUUUGGAGCAGUUCAGAACACUGUUACUUGAAGAGGAUGAAGCUACUUAAAUCCGCUGCACUAGAGCACAGACUCAAGGAAGUUGGGGAAUUUGGACAAUACCAAACACAAGCUUUGAAAAACCUCUUAGUACCAGACUUCUCCCGCUUCCUACAGAUUAGGCCUCCUGCUGACUAUUUGUACUUCUCAAAUGUGUAAGAGAUUUAGGCGUUAAUGUCUGCACCUCGGUUCACCUACCUUUGAAACAGCAGUGGUAAUUCUGACUUAAAUAUUGUGAUGAUACAUUAAUAAAUAUGAGCAAAACUCUUUGAAGUUGAAAAAUAUACUGAGAUUUAAGUACAUUCCUUUUUGUCAUGAUUAACCUGUCAGAUGUUUAAGUGCUGAAACACUGCUUUUGGAAAAAAAAAAAAAAAAAAAAAGAGAAAUGCCAGUUAAGAUAAUAAAGAAGUCAAGA